AUGACCCGGAAGCAGUCUGUGAGACGACUUUUAUCGAGAAAAAAAUUUGGGAGACAAAUUAACGUGUGCAUUUCAAAUCAGAGAAUGGAAAAAGAAUUUAAUUCUGAUGACAGUGGCAGGAAUACUCCAAGAGAGGUUGUUCUGACAAGGUCUGAUACACCUGGACCUACACCAGCAUAUAUCUACAGUAGGGACCAGUUGUAUGAGUAUGCUAACAGUAAAACAGCAAAGAAAAGACCAGUUUGUUUGUCUACAGAUUAUGAUAACACCGAGGGUUUAUGGGAUCCAGAGAAAUGGUUUAGAUCUUUCGAUAGUGGUGUUGGUGACAGAUUGUCCCCUCUAAAUGUAGGAGAGAAAGAAAAGAAAGCAGAAUAUUUAAACAAAAGAAGACCAUCAGAUCCGAAAGAGAGACUCAAAGAAGAAAAAGAUGGUAUAGUUUUGAGUCCCCAGAGGAGGAGCUUUGGGACAGGAUGUCAUGUGACAGCUCCUACGAUGACAAGACAAGUUAGUUGUCCUGCAGAUUAUAAGGACGACAACAGAAAUGUCAGACGUAUUGGUAGUGGUAGAAUUCAAAUUGACAGAGAUAGAGGAGAAAGAGAACGUGAACCUCAGCAUGCUCAGAGAGAGCGUGAACCUCAGAGAGAACGUGACUAUAGGGCAAUCCGUGACAGAUUUGAUGACGGAAGAGAUAGGAGAUAUGAUAACAGGGGAGACAAUCGAGGCUACAGAAGGGAGUAUGAUGACAGGAGGGACUUCAGUCGGCAUUUCAGCAGAGACAAUGGUCGAAACAGACAUGAUUCUUACCGUCACCGUGAAGAAGAGGAACCAGAAUGGUUCUCGGAGGGGCCCACCAGUCAAAAUGAUCGCAUAGAACUUCAUGGAUUUGAAGGUCCCAGAGAGGUCAAAGAGGAACACGUGAAGGGCAAGGACGAUGAAGAAGACGAUAACAACAUGGAUACUGGAUUUGACGAGGAAUAUCAUGAAGAGGCUCAACAGGAUGAAUCAAAUAAAAGUUCAGAAGUAAAAGUAGCUGAUGUGAAGGAAAGAAAUGGUAGUCUGGAGACCAAUGAGUCAAGUUCACCUGAGGAAUCAAAUAACUCAGGCAGUCUACAUGUCCCAUCGCCACAGGCAACUAACUUGUUUGACUUUAAUGAGUUCUUCAAGAUAGAAAACCUUCCAGGCUUAAAUGAAGGGGGUAGUCCCACUGCUGAAGUACAGACUGGAUUCCAGAGUCGAUUCAGUCGCUGGUUCUCCUCCCAUCAUGGAGGAGGCAGUAUGGGUAACAGUCGAGAGAAUAGUCGUAGAUCAUCAAUCAAUGAAGACUUUGGAUAUCUCAAUGAACUAUUAAGUGGAACCAAAAGUCCAAUUGUUCCAUCGCCACCACCUAACACCAUUAAUUCUAUGUAUGACAAGUCUGUGUUCAUGACACCAGGCAACAGUACGUUCUCUGACAAACCACAGUGUAUAAGUAUGGACAUGUCUGUCUCACAGAAAAACAUCAUAGCUCCAAUGUUGAACAGUAUAUUCCAGAAUUCUGGAUCAUCACAUCAUAAGCGUAAUGAUAGCAACAGUAGUAAUUACAGUGUACAGGAUGUAGAGGCUCAGCUGAAGGCUUUAUUGUUUGGAAGGAAAGACUCCACUGCCUCCAGUAGUGGUAAUAACAGUCCUGCUGUGUCCUCUCCUAGAAAUGUACCAUACAUCAAGACUGUACAGGAACUGGAAGCUGAUAUGAAGCCAACGACCACACCUGGUGGACAUAACUACCCACAGCAGCCAAUCCCCCACCCACUGGCAAUGAAUCAUCACAAGAUCGAAAGACAGAACAGAAUGACGCCUCCUGGUGCCAGAAUGACUCCUCCUGGUGUGAGAAUGACUCCUCCUACUGUGAUUCACCAUCACCAACCACACCAGCAACAACAUCAGCAGCAUCAGCAGCCCUCGUCUCAACAAUCUUCAAGACGAUCAAGUGAGGAUGAAGGAGAUUUGACGGCAUUUAAUAAAUUAUUGAGUCUGAUGCAAGCUGGGGCAGCGGCAGCUGUAGAAUCUCCAAAAAUUCCAACUCGACAGGAGACCAGAGUUCCUUCCCCACCACAACAGAUGAUGCAGGCUAGACCUCAGACUCCAAAUAGUCAACAGACUCAAGCUCAAAUUGCACAAAAUGAGUUUUUACAGGCUUUACUUCGUAACAAGGAGCAACAGAACCUGAUACGACAGCAGGCUCUAAUGAAGAUGAAUUACAUGACAAAACAAUCCACGCCUCUUGCCCAGCCAACACCUUUAGGUCAGCAGACACCAGGUGGCCUACGAACAACCUUGCCCGAAUCAUUGGCAAAUUAUAUUAAACAGAACCCAACCAUCAUUACAAAAUCAGCCUCCCCAACCCCUCCGCCUCAAUCUGUCCUUCAACAGCCACAGGCUCCAACCAUGAUGAACAUCAUACAGAACACAUCCACACCUAGAGCUCCAUCACCGGCACCACAACAAGUCAUUCCAAACUUCAUGCCACAGCCAACAUCAUCACCUCGUGUACCUUCACCAAUCAUGUUCAGUCAGCAACCACCAAUGCAUCUCAAUGCGCCAUCACCGAUCCAUCCAUCUCAGUUAACAAGUACAUCACCAAUCAAUGUACCAGCAGUUUCUAUGUCUUCGACUGCUUCAAUAAGGCCACCUGUUAUCCACCGUGGACCAAGUCCACAGGAACUUAUAGCUCAUACCCAAGCCAUAAUGCAGACAGCUUUACUUAAAAAACAAUUGGAAGAUCAAAAAGAAAGAUUUAUGAAGAAACAACAAGAAAGGGCUAAGUCACCUAACCCUACAGGAACACCUAUUCCAUCAAAGUCACCAAGCAUGAUGCCAAUGCCCAUGUCUAACAAUCCAGUCAUUGUUAAUAAUCAACCAAAGCCUGCAGUGUCAGUUGCUUUUACGCCAACUUCAGUGAUGAGAAAGAUGCAUUCAGACAAAGCAAGUGAAAAGGACAAACAAAAACCAGAGAUGGGAGAAGGAACACCAGCGCCUCCUCCACCAAUCAGACAAUUGAUACGACCUGAUGGGUCAUUAAAUGACGAAGACCACAACAGUCCAAAUAAUGAAAUUGAUAGACACCUGAACAACAAGUACCAAGAGUCAAGGAAUGGUCCUCAGUCAGAUCAACAGUUCAACACUCAUGUGCCUCCUCCUGGAUACUCUAUGGGGUCCAGUACAGGGAACCCUGAACAGGGAACAGGUGCAAACAAAAAUUCUCGUCCUGGACCAAAUAUGAUGUCUAACAUGAUGCAGGCCAAUGGACCACUUCCACAGAUGAGUGGACCACCACCACUUUUGUCAACACAACUAUCCACUCCUGGUAGACCAAUUGUCAAAGCAGUAAAUGUUAGUACUAGUAGUGUAACCGGUGUGAUGACACCAAACCAGGUACCUAUGCGACAGUUCUCUGUGUCACAGCAACUAAAUACUCCUCUGUCCUCUGCCAGUAUACAACAGAGGGCUAUAAUGGGACAGAAUACGUUACAGACGGCAUCACCCAACAUGCCACCCAGACCAAUGAACAUUUCCCCCAAUCCACUCACACGACCGAUCGUUGGGACUCCGGUGUCACAGAACUUUUCAAUGGGUAUUCCCAUAACUGGACGUAUGCCUAUUCCACAAGGAGGAGUUAAUAUGAGUCCAAGUCCUCUUGUUCUACAACAGAUGAUGCAGGGAGGUAUAUCACCAGCUACAGCUAGAGUGAAUGCACUGAAUCAGAUAAACCAAAUAAACCACCUGAAUCAGAUGGCUCUACAGGCCCAGCAACAGCAGCAGAGGAUGAUGGACCCUAGACUUCAAGGUAUUCGUGGAAUCUAUCCACCUUCUACAAUGAGUCCACGGACCUCUUUGCAGUCGGCGGGACUUAAUAUACCCAACUCAAUGGGAGUCAACGUUGCCAUGAGCCGUGCUUUGUCACCACAUGCACUAUCUCAGAAACAAUCAAUGGGUGGACCUGUUUCUCCAGGAUUAUUUAACGGGAACAACAACCUGACAAAACCAGGAGAACCCAAUCUGUUUAAGUGGUUUGGAAAUGAUGUGUUGAAAGGACAAAUUCCCAACAUGCCACCGCUUCCUCAACAGGGAACCAGAGUCAUGACUGUUGAUGAAAUUGAACGGUGUUAAAUUCAGUGGUGGAAUGAUGCGCUAUUUCCUAACGAUAAGUGAGGUCUUUAACAGGAAAUAUGGUGGCAUCAUUUUAUAAUAGACUUCCCGUUACUUACAAUGUAGUUGUCAUUGUAAGAGGGGAGAUAACAAUGGCAUAGUGGUGAUAGAUUCAUGUGGUGUUCAGACAGACUCAUGAACAAGUUAUAAUGUAUAAUGACAUCAACUUUGUUAUCUAAUCCAACGAUUUUAUAAGCUUGGCACAAGGUCUUUAAUAAAGCUUUUUUGUCAAUUUAUAAAUUACAGGUUUUCAUUAGUGUGGUACCUAAUACAUGAAACAGUGAUACAUACGUUUUGCACAAUUGCUUAGUUACAACUCGGAAACUUUCUUUUGUCUCUGUAAAUAUUAAUUUUGUGUACAGAAAAUGUUGUUUUCGCUCAGAUUUUUUUUUGUGAGUGUAUAUUUUUUUCUUUCUAUCAAUAUGUAAUAAUGUAUAUCCUUGAAAUGAAAAUGUAUGUAUAUAUGUGUUAAUUUCUUUUUCGAUUGGUUGAUUUUGUAAAUAAAAUGUCUUUUUUUUUUUUGUCGUUUACUUGGCAGAUGUAACAUAUCACACAAUCAACUCGUCAGUUUCAAUGUAAAUAAACGGUAUAUCAUCUCUCAGUUAAAACCUCCAUGAAUAUUUCAAAUGUUAUUUAGAAACUGUUAUUUUUGUGCUAUCAAGUUGUUUCUGUAUUUGAAGACAGACCAGUUGUGUCUAUACUAGUCAUUUCAUUAUUUUUGAACACAAGAAAAGUGCUUGGCAUUUUGUAACAGAUGUUUAUAUAUAUAUUUUUUGUUUUAUUAAUAUUUUUUCUGACAAAGUCAUCUUUCUGUACAUUUGUAAAUAGUCUGUAGUGUUAUUUAUUGUUUUGAUUUUGUUUGUAAAAGAAAUUAAACAUAUAUCUACUCUGUACUAUGGUUUUCAACAAACAUGGCAAAUGUUAAAGCAAGUCAGAGGUCUUAUCACUGGUCUAAG